GGCCGGGCUGCUGCCUUCUCCCGCUGUGGGCGCGCAGAACCCCGCGGGCCGACGGCGGCCGGCCGACGCCGAGACGCCCCUCCGGUGGCUUUAGCGUCUUGUUGCGCCACGGCCGCCCCGCCGAUCAGGUUCCUUCGGGAGACUUCGACUUGUUCGAGACCUGAUGGCCAAAAGAAAGGAAGGAAAUUUCUUCUCUCCUGGAAAUGCCAAAAGACCAAGACAAGAAGAGCUGGAUGAUUUUGAUAAAGAUGGUGACGAAGAUGAAUGUACAGUUUCUUUCACUAAUGGUACCUCUGCUUUGACAGCAGCAGAAGUUGGAAUCAUUGAGAGUAUUCAGCUCAGAAACUUCAUGUGUCAUUCGAUGCUUGGACCCUUUAAAUUUGGUUCUAAUGUCAACUUUGUUGUUGGCAAUAAUGGAAGUGGGAAGAGUGCAGUACUCACAGCUCUUAUAGUUGGUCUUGGUGGAAAAGCAGUUGCUACUAACCGAGGAUCUUCUUUGAAAGGUUUUGUGAAAGAUGGACAGAACUCAGCAGAUAUCUCAAUAACGUUAAGGAACAGAGGGGAUGAUGCCUAUAGAGCCAGUGUGUACGGUGACUCUAUAAUUGUGCAACAGCACAUCAGCAUGGAUGGAAGUCGAUCUUAUAAACUGAAAAGUGAAACAGGCGCCUUGGUUUCCACUAGGAAAGAAGAACUAAUUGGAAUUCUUGAUCAUUUUAACAUACAGGUAGAUAAUCCAGUUUCUGUCUUAACGCAAGAGAUGAGCAAGCAGUUCUUGCAGUCUAAAAAUGAGGGAGACAAAUACAAAUUCUUUAUGAAAGCAACCCAACUGGAACAAAUGAAGGAGGAUUAUUCAUACAUCAUGGAAACCAAAGAAAGAACAAAGGAGCAGAUAAAUCAAGGAGAAGAGCGACUUACUGAACUAAAGCGCCAGUGUUUGGAGAAAGAAGAACGUUUUCAGAGUAUUGCUGGCUUAAGUACAAUGAAGACCAAUCUGGAAUACUUGAAACAUGAAAUGGCUUGGGCAGUGGUCAAUGAAAUUGAAAAACAACUGAAUGCUAUCAGAGACAACAUCAAAAUUGGAGAAGAUCGUGCUGCUAGACUUGAGAGGAAAACGGAAGAACAGCAGGUCAGACUUAAUGAAGCAGAAAAAAAGUACAAGGAUAUUCAAGAUAAACUAGAAAAGAUUAGUCAAGAGACAAAUGCACGAGCACCAGAAUGUAUGGCAUUGAAAGCAGAUCUUACUUCUAAGAAAAGGGCCUAUAAUGAAGCUGAGGUUUUAUACAACCAUUCCCUAAACGAGUAUAGAGCAUUAAAGAAAGAUGAUGAGCAGCUUUGCAAAAGAAUUGAAGAACUGAGAAAAAGUGCUGAUCAGUCUUUGGAACCUGAACGGUUGGAAAGGCAAAAAAAAAUAUCUUGGUUAAAAGAAAGAGUAAAGGUCUUACAGGAUCAAGAAAGUUCAGUCAAUCAAGAGAUCGAACAAUUUCAGCAAGCCGUAGAAAAGGACAAAGAAGAACAUACCAGAAUUAAGAGAGAAGAGUUAGAUGUGAAGAAUACACUGAACUAUAAUCAGAGGCAACUGAAAGAAUUGAAAGACAGUAAAACUGAUCAACUGAAAAGAUUUGGCCCUCAUGUUCCAGCUCUUCUGGAAGCCAUAGAUGAUGCUUACAGACGGGGGCAUUUUACCUAUAAACCUGUAGGCCCUUUAGGAGCUUGCAUUCAUCUUCGGGACACUGAGCUUGCUUUGGCCAUUGAAUCUUGCUUGAAAGGACUUCUGCAAGCCUACUGUUGCCAUAAUCAUGCUGAUGAAAGAGUGCUUCAGGCACUGAUGAAAAGGUUUUACUCACCAGGGACCUCACGGCCACAGAUAAUAGUUUCUGAGUUUCGGGAUGAGGUGUAUGAUGUAAGACACAGAGCUGCUUAUCAUCCAGAGUUCCCAACAGUUCUGACAGCUUUAGAAAUAGAUAAUGCAGUUGUCACAAAUAGCCUAAUUGACAUGAGAAGCAUAGAGACAGUGCUGCUGAUCAAAAAUAAUUCUGUAGCUCGUGCAGUAAUGCAGUCCCAAAAGCCACCCAAGAAUUGUAGAGAAGCUUUUACUGCUGAUGGUGAUCAAGUUUUUGCAGGGCGUUAUUAUUCAUCUGAAUAUACAAGACCUAAGUUUCUCAGCAGAGAUGUGGAUUCUGAAAUAAGUGACUUGGAGAAUGAGGUUGAAAAUAAGAAAGCCCAGAUAUCAAAUCUUCAGCAACAUUUGUCUGCCCUUGAAAAGGAUAUUAAACACAAUGAAGAACUUCUUAGAAGGUGCCAACUGCAUUAUAAAGAGUUAAAGAUGAAAAUAAGAAGAAGUAUUUCUGAAAUUCGGGAACUUGAGAAUAUAGAAGAACACCAGUCUGUAGAUAUUGCAACCUUGGAAGAUGAAGCUCAAGAAAAUAAAAUCAAAAUGAAAAUGGUUGAGAAAAACAUGGAACAACAAAAAGAGAAUAUGGAACAUUUUAAAAGUCUGAAAAUAGAAGCGGAAAAUAAGUAUGAUGCAAUUAAACAGAAAAUUAAUCAGCUAUCAGAGCUAGCAGAUCCACUUAAGGAUGAAUUAAACCUUGCUGAUUCCGAAGUGGAUAACCAAAAACGAGGGAAACGGCAUUAUGAAGACAAGCAAAAAGAACACUUGGAUACUUUAAAUAAAAAGAAACGAGAAUUAGAUAUGAAAGAAAAAGAACUAGAGGAGAAAAUGUCACAAGCAAGACAAAUCUGCCCAGAGCGGAUAGAAGUAAAAAAAUCUGCAUCAAUUCUAGACAAAGAAAUUAAUAGAUUAAGACAAAAGAUACAGGCAGAACAUGCUAGUCAUGGAGAUCGAGAGGAAAUAAUGAGGCAAUAUCAAGAAGCAAGAGAAACCUAUCUUGAUCUGGAUAACAAAGUAAGGACUUUAAAAAGGUUUAUUAAAUUACUGGAAGAAAUAAUGACCCAUAGAUAUAAAACGUAUCAACAAUUUAGAAGGUGUUUGACUUUACGAUGCAAAUUGUACUUUGACAACUUACUAUCUCAGCGGGCCUAUUGUGGAAAAAUGAAUUUUGACCACAAGAAUGAAACUCUUACUAUAUCUGUUCAGCCUGGAGAGGGAAACAAAGCCGCUUUCAAUGACAUGAGGGCCUUAUCUGGCGGUGAACGUUCUUUUUCCACAGUUUGCUUCAUUCUUUCUCUGUGGUCCAUUGCUGAAUCUCCUUUCAGAUGCCUGGAUGAGUUUGAUGUCUACAUGGAUAUGGUUAACCGGAGAAUUGCGAUGGAUAUGAUACUCAAGAUGGCAGAUUCCCAGCGCUUCAGACAGUUCAUCCUGCUUACCCCUCAAAGCAUGAGAAUGGGAAGUAGAAUCCUCAGGUAUCCAGGCAUCUCUUGUUGAGUUGAAGAUUAUUCAUUGCUUUGGCCUCACAAAGUUUGGGUUUCAACUAUCAAUCUCUCUGGCUGCUGUGUGAAUAGGUUAGGAUUAGAGUUGGGCAAACAUGGAAAGAGCGAGCAAUCUGGAGGCUUUUGCAGUGAUCCAGGUCAGAGGUCAUGGAGACUUGGACCAGAGUGGUCGAGAUAGAAGUGUUCAGAUUCGAAGUCCAGAGGCAGUGAGACUUGCUGAUGAGAAUACAGUUGACCCUUGAACAACACAGAGGUGUGGAGCAGUCAGAAAUUCGAGUUUAAUUUAUAGUUGGCCCUCCAUACACACGGUUCCUCCUGUCCCCCUUGUGCAUCUGUGGAUGGGGUAGCACUGUAAUACUUACUAUUGAAAAAAAUCCGCCUAUAAGUGCACCCGCACAGUUUGAAUCUGUACUGUUCAAGGGUCAGCUGCACUGCGGAGCUGUGAGAGGAAUGGGGCCUGGGGUCUGGGGCCUGGGGCCUGGGGUCUGGGGCCUGAAAAACCGCACGAGUGGUGGUGUCAUUCCCAGAGCUAGGGAAGAUGCGGGGCGGCUGUGGAGGAGAGCGAUGGACGGCUGGUGGGGAGACGUACAGCAGCUCUGAUCUGAGCAGGCAGCAUUUGAGACAACCAUUUAGUUAAUCGGGUAUUUGAUGGGUAAGUUUACGUUGGUAAAUGUAAGAACCUGCGAAACAGUAACAUAAGGUAAGAGUCUAGAGAUCUAUAUUUCGCCUGCAAAAUGCUGGGAAGAACCCAAAUUGCAUGCCCAAAAUAUUUGGGAAACUGAAUCGCUUACACAAAAGGACCUAAGGGAACAGUGUGUCAUUUUAUUUAGAAGCUCUAGUUGACUGUCAUUUUCUCACUAAACCCCUACACACCUGGUGCGGUAAGGCUCUCUGAAGACGUCUAUUUAAGCGUGUGUUUUACUUCCUGACAUGGUUUCCAACGGUGUGGAGGAAAUCAGCAUCUGGCCUCUUUAAGAAAGUGGUUCAUGUUAUUCAUCUAGAGACCGUGACCCUGAAUGAGGGAACUACAGGGAAAAGGAAGCUUUAAAGCAAUAUGAUUCCCCUUUAAAAACAGUUUAGAGUUAUUUAAGAAAUAAAAAAGAGGAAAUAUGGAAACUGUCUUCUAAACACAGAAAGAGUUCAGGUUAGAAUAAAAGUAAGACAUUUGGGGGCAUUUUCCUUUCAGAACAGCAGCAGGAGUUAAAGAGACCAAAAUAGUAGCUGAGUAUAAGCUGGAACUGAUAGAACCCAGGCCCACUUGAAUGAUGAGAGGAUGCCCACAGCUGGUCCUCUCUGAAGGGACCACAGGCUGGGAGGGACACUGUGGUUCUUGAGGAUGCCCGUUGCUGAGGGUGUGUGUGGGUGUGGUUUAAACGGAACUCAGUUACAGAAGUUGUGUUAAACACACCCUUCAGUUCAUGGCUCACCUUCCUCUCUGGUUGCCUCAGAGCAGGUGAAUGCAUUUUGUAUGUGGAAGAGAUGUGAAUUGUGGCUACAGGGCAGACUGUGGCUGAUUGUUUUCCAGAGAGGGUGGAAACAUCUCUCCUGUUCUUCUAGAAACUUGUAACCUAUCAAGACAUAGAGUUUAAUUUCCUUCUUGACUAUGAAUAGGUUUGUGACUGUGUUGUAACCAAUAGAAUGAUGGAGAAGUGUUACUUCAUGACUAUUGAGGCUAUAGGGCAGGAAAGAAUAUGAAACUUCCAGUUUCUUAGCAGGAAUACUUGUGCUGGAGACCUGAACCAUCAGGCAAGUAGUAUGACUGCUCUGAGGCCUCCAUGCUGCGAGGAAGAACAAACUAGCCCAUGUGGAAAAGCCCUGAGGCCCUCUCAACUCUCAGCUGCUCCAGGCACCUGUUGCAGCUCAAGCUUCCAUGUGACUGCAACUGCACGAGACACCCCCAGCUAGAAUCAUCCAGCCUUGUAAAAACAUGUGCUCGUUGCUGUGCCUACAUCAGUUUCCAGCUGGAGCCUAGUAUGCCUCAGGGUGCACGCACCACGUCUUACCUAGUCCUCUAGUCAUGAGCCACUAGGUUGCCUCCAGCCCCCACUCCAGAAACAGAGCUGUCACGGACAUCCUGGGACAAGUCCCCAUACAUCCUCCUGUGAGAGCUUCUUGGGGCAACAAACCCAGGAGUGGAAAUGCUGGGUCAGAGGACAUAUGUACACUUACUCUAACCAAUACUGCUGGACUGCUGUCAGGACCCUGCCCCAGUCGACACUAGCGGAGCAGAGAGAACUAAAACAAG